UACGUAGGGGGCAAGCGUUGUCCGGAAUCAUUGGGCGUAAAGCGCGUGUAGGCGGCUCGAUAAGUCUGCUGUGAAAGUCCAGGGCUCAACCCUGGGAUGCCGGUGGAUACUGUCGAGCUCGAGUCCGGAAGAGGCGAGUGGAAUUCCUGGUGUAGCGGUGAAAUGCGCAGAUAUCAGGAGGAACACCAAUUGCGAAGGCAGCUCGCUGGGACGUAACUGACGCUGAGACGCGAAAGCGUGGGGAGCAAACAGG
rnacentral:rRNA from 1 species